rnacentral:rRNA from 1 species
GACGAACGCUGGCGGCGUGCUUAACACAUGCAAGUCGAGCGGUAAGGCCCUUUCGGGGGUACACGAGCGGCGAACGGGUGAGUAACACGUGGGUGACCUGCCCUCAGCUCUGGGAUAAGCCUGGGAAAACCGGGUCUAAUACUGGAUAUGACUCCAUGACGCAUGUUGUGGGGUGGAAAGCCUUGUGCGGCUGAGGAUGGGCCCGCGGCCUAUCAGCUUGUUGGUGGGGUGAUGGCCUACCAAGGCGACGACGGGUAGCCGGCCUGAGAGGGCGACCGGCCACACUGGGACUGAGACACGGCCCAGACUCCUACGGGAGGCAGCAGUGGGGAAUCUUGCGCAAUGGGACGAAAGCCUGACGCAGCGACGCCGCGUGAGGGAUGACGGCCU